rnacentral:tRNA from 1 species
GAAGGUAUAGCUCAGUGGUAGAGUACGUGCUUAGCAUGCAUGAGGUCCUGGGCUCAAGCCCCAAAACCUCCA